AACGAACGCUGGCGGCAGGCUUAACACAUGCAAGUCGAGCGAGACCUUCGGGUCUAGCGGCGGACGGGUUAGUAACGCGUGGGAACGUACCCUUCUCUACGGCAUAGCCCCGGGAAACUGGGACUAAUACCGUAUACGCCCUUUGGGGGAAAGCUUUAUCGGAGAAGGAUCGGCCCGCGUUGGAUUAGGUAGUUGGUGGGGUAAUGGCCCACCCAGCCGACGAUCCAUAGCUGGUUUGAGAGGAUGAUCAGCCACACUGGGACUGAGACACGGCCCAGACUCCUACGGGAGGCAGCAGUGGGGGAUCUUAGACAGUGGGGGCAACGCUGAUCGAGCCAGGCCGGGUGAGUGAUGAAGGCCUUAGGGUUGUAAAGCUCUUUCAGCUGGGAAGAUAAUGACGGUACCAGCAGAAGAAGCCCCGGCUAACUCCGUG
rnacentral:rRNA from 1 species